AUACGGAGGAUGCGAGCGUUAUCCGGAUUUAUUAGGUUUAAAGGGUGUGUAGGCGGUAUUUUAAGUCAGUGGUGAAAUCUCGGAGCUUAACUUCGAAACUGCCAUUGAUACUGGAAUACUUGAGUAUAGUUGAGGUAGGCGGAAUAUGUAAUGUAGCGGUGAAAUGCAUAGAUAUUACAUAGAACACCGAUUGCGAAGGCAGCUUACUAAACUAUUACUGACGCUGAUGCACGAAAGCGUGGGGAGCGAACAGGAUUAGAUACCCUGGUAGUCC
rnacentral:rRNA from 1 species